GGAUGAACGCUAGCGACAGGCUUAACACAUGCAAGUCGAGGGGCAGCAUAGAAGUAGCAAUACUUUGGUGGCGACCGGCGCACGGGUGAGUAACGCGUAUGCAACCUACCUAUCAGAGGGGAAUAACCCGGCGAAAGUCGGACUAAUACCGCAUAAAACAGGGGCACCGCAUGGUGAUAUUUGUUAAAGAAAUUCGCUGAUAGAUGGGCAUGCGUUCCAUUAGGUAGUUGGUGAGGUAACGGCUCACCAAGCCGACGAUGGAUAGGGGAACUGAGAGGUUGGUCCCCCACACUGGUACUGAGACAUGGUCCAGACUCCUCCGGGAGUUAGCAUCAGGGAAUCUUGCGCAAUGGGCGAAAGCCUGACGCAGCGACGCCGCGUGAGGGAUGAAGGUCUGCGGAUCGUAAACCUCUGUAAGCAGGGACGAAUGCCCGAUUUGGUCGGGAGUGACGGUACCUGCAGAGUAAGCUCCGGCUAACUACGUGCCAGCAGCCGCGGUAAUACGUAGGGAGCCAGCGUUGUCCGGAUUUACUGGGCGUAAAGAGCGCGUAGGCGGUUUUGUAAGCGGAGGGUGAAAUCUCGGGGCUCAACUCCGAGGCUGCUUUCCGAACUGCAAGACUAGAGUACGGGAGAGGAUAGUGGAAUUCCUGGUGUAGCGGUGGAAUGCGUAAAUAUCAGGAGGAACACCCGUGGCGAAGGCUGCUAUCUGGAACGUUACUGACGCUGAGGCGCGAAAGCUAGGGGAGCGAACGGGAUUAGAUACCCCGGUAGUCCUAGCCGUAAACGAUGGACACUAGGUGUUGGAGGCAUCGACCCCUUCAGUGCUGUUCUGCUAACGCGUUAAGUGUCCCGCCUGGGGAGUACGGCCGCAAGGUUGAAACUCAGAGGAAUUGACGGGGGCCCGCACAAGCGGUGGAGCAUGUUGGUUAAUUGGAUGAUACGCCAAGAACCUUACCAGGGUUUGACAUGUUUGGGACAGCUGGUGAAAGCCAGUCUCCGUAGCAAUACGGUCCAUUCACAGGUGGUGCAUGGUUGUCGUCAGCUCGUGUCGUGAGAUGUUGGGUUAAGUCCCGCAACGAGCGCAACCCUCACUGGAUGUUGCCAUCGGUAACGCCGGGAACUCUUCCAGGACUGCCCGAGUAAUCGGGAGGAAGGGGGGGACGACGUCAAAUCGGCAUGCCCCUUACACCCUGGGCUGCAAACGUGCUACAAUGGCCGGUACAAAGGGUAGCUAAACCGCGAGGUGGAGCCAAUCCCCCAAAGCCGGUCCCAGUUCGGAUUGGGUGUCUGCAACUCGACCCCAUGAAGUCGGAAUCGCUAGUAACCGUGGAUCAGCAACGCCACGGUGAAUACGUUCCCGGGCAU
rnacentral:rRNA from 1 species